AUACGUAGGGUGCGAGCGUUGUCCGGAAUUACUGGGCGUAAAGAGCUCGUAGGUGGUUUGUCGCGUCGUCUGUGAAAUUCCGGGGCUUAACUCCGGGCGUGCAGGCGAUACGGGCAUAACUUGAGUACUGUAGGGGAGACUGGAAUUCCUGGUGUAGCGGUGAAAUGCGCAGAUAUCAGGAGGAACACCGGUGGCGAAGGCGGGUGUCUGGGCAGUAUCUGACGCUGAGGGGCGAAAGCAUGGGUGGCGAACAGGAUUAGAUACCCUGGUAUGCCAUGCCGUAAACGGUGGGCGCUAGGUGUAGGGGUCUUCCACGAUUUCUGUGCCGUAGCUAACGCAUUAAGCGCCCCGCCUGGGGAGUACAGCCGCAAGGCUAAAACUUAAAGGAAUUGACGGGG
rnacentral:rRNA from 1 species